UACAGAGGGCGCGAGCGUUGUCCGGAAUCACUGGGCGUAAAGGGCGCGUAGGUGGCCUCCAUAAGGCCGUGGUGAAAGUCUGGGGCUCAACCCCGGAUCGGCCGCGGCGACUGUGGGGCUCGGGCACUGUAGAGGCAGAUGGAAUUCCGGGUGUAGCGGUGGAAUGCGUAGAGAUCCGGAAGAACACCAGUGGCGAAGGCGGUCGUGCUGGGGCAGUGGGAGCCGCAAGGUUCCUUAUAGCCGACACUGAGGCGCGACAGCGGUGGGGAGCAAACCGG
rnacentral:rRNA from 1 species